UACUUUUCAGUAAAGUGCACAUCAUCGGU
rnacentral:sRNA from 1 species